UAACCUGCCCAAGAGAUCGGGAUAACACCUGGAAACAGAUGCUAAUACCGGAUAACAACAGAUGAUGCCUAUCAACUGUUUAAAAGAUGGUUCUGCUAUCACUCUUGGAUGGACCUGCGGUGCAUUAGCUAGUUGGUAGGGUAACGGCCUACCAAGGCGAUGAUGCAUAGCCGAGUUGAGAGACUGAUCGGCCACAUUGGGACUGAGACNCGGCCCAAACUCCUACGGGGAGGCAGCAGC
rnacentral:rRNA from 1 species